rnacentral:rRNA from 1 species
CCUACGGGAGGCAGCAGUGGGGAAUAUUGGACAAUGGGGGCAACCCUGAUCCAGCAAUGCCGCGUGAGUGAUGAAGGCCUUAGGGUUGUAAAGCUCUUUUACCAGGGAUGAUAAUGACAGUACCUGGAGAAUAAGCUCCGGCUAACUCCGUGCCAGCAGCCGCGGUAAUACGGAGGGAGCUAGCGUUGUUCGGAAUUACUGGGCGUAAAGCGCACGUAGGCGGUUACUCAAGUCAGAGGUGAAAGCCCGGGGCCAACCCGGAACUGCCUUUGAAACUAGGUAACUAGAAUCCUGGAGAGGUGAGUGGAAUUCCCGAGUGUAGAGGUGAAAUUCGUAGAUAUUCGGAAGAACACCAGUGGCGAAGGCGGCUC